GGCAGGAGAAGCCGAGCAGGUGGCGCCGAGGGUCGGUCACUCGCCCUCGCGUAACCCCGGCGGAUGCUCGUGGCCCCGCGGUGCUUUGAGACAGACUCACGGCCGGCGAUCGCUGAGUCCAAUGGGUGAGGUGGGGCACUGCCCUACAACCCAAUUCAGACUACUCUCCCCCGGAC
rnacentral:RNase_P_RNA from 2 species